rnacentral:lncRNA from 1 species
UUUCCUCCGAUGGCUUCGCUACUUUUGCCCUUCAUCUUUUCUCGUCCUUUCUUUUUCUUCUCCAUCUGAGGUUUCCUCUUCUCGCACCUCUUCAACUUUUCAUCUUCUCCUUAGCCUGCAAGCUUUCUCGCCAUGCUCUGAUUCUUUUUUUUCUUCAUCUCCUUCUCUUGAUUAUACUCUCCUUCGAUAAUAUGUUGAAUCGGAUCCUUCUCGACUU